GGGAGACACACGGCGGGUGCUAACGUCCGUCGUGAAAAGGGAAACAACCCAGACCGUCAGCUAAGGUCCCAAAGUUAUGGUUAAGUGGGAAACGAUGUGGGAAGGCUUAGACAGCUAGGAGGUUGGCUUAGAAGCAGCCACCCUUUAAAGAAAGCGUAAUAGCUCACUGGUCGAGUCGGCCUGCGCGGAAGAUUUAACGGGGCUCAAACCAUACACCGAAGCUACGGGUAUCACGUAAGUGAUGCGGUAGAGGAGCGUUCUGUAAGCCUGUGAA
rnacentral:rRNA from 11 species